UACGUAGGGUGCAAGCGUUAAUCGGAAUUACUGGGCGUAAAGCGUGCGCAGGUGGUUGUGUAAGCUUGAUGUGAAAUCCCCGGGCUUAACCUGGGAACUGCGUUUGAAACUGGGAGACUAGAGUGUGGCAGAGGGGGGUGGAAUUCCACGUGUAGCAGUGAAAUGCGUAGAUAUGUGGAGGAACACCGAUGGCGAAGGCAACCCCCUGGGUUAACACUGACGCUCAUGCACGAAAGCGUGGGGAGCAAACAGG
rnacentral:rRNA from 1 species